AACGAAACACCUCUUCAAAACAAAUUUGAAAGAAAAAGUCUAUAAAACCUAAAUCUAACCUAAUCUUCAAUCUCAUACCUUAGUCGCUCUCACCUCUCGCUCAUAGUCUCACGCUCAAAUGGAUAAACGACAUCGUGUAAUCGUGCAUCCUUGGCUCCUCCUUGCCUCCCUCUUCGUUCAUCACCUCCGCUAUACCUCCUCAUAUCAUCUUCGCCCUUCACUUUAGACUUUCUCCGCCUCCAAGCUUCAGAAUUUCACCAUCUGAAGUGAAGAACUUCGGCCAACACCGAAGAACUCAACAACAUUAGGCGAUUUCUUAUGAUUUCAGGUAAACAUACAUAAUUAGAUACACAUUUACUUUAAGUUUUAGUACAUAUUUAAUUUUCUUUUUGUGCUUUGAUUCUUAUAAGUACAAGAAGCAUAUGUUUCUUUUUGUAAUUUAACAAUCUUGUAAUUGUUUAUACUUCACAUAAACACUGCAAAUUUGUAUUUGUUUAUAUUUAAGUCAUUAGCAAACUAACAAUGGUGUAUAAAGUUUACUAUAUAAUGAGCUUACGAGAGGUUAUAAAUGUGUUUAAGUAUCUAAUUCUAUUUUUAUACCUGAUUAUUUCACAUUAUAGUUGUCUAUGUGUGUAAUUGUGUAUGUUUUUAACAAUAUGGCUCUAAUUAUAGUAUAUGUUUGUUGUUUUAGAAUGGCUACAAAUGAAGGUGUAAUAGAUGUGGACGAUCAAAAUGAUGAAGUUGAAGUCCCUGGAAGAAAAUAAGCCAAAGUUGAAGUCACUUGUUUGGCAACAUUUUCCAUAUAAGAAAUGUGCUAAAAAGUCAAAAUGCAAACAUUUUAAAAUGGUUUUAGCAUGUGGAACUAGAGUUAAUGGUACCUCUGAGUUAGUGAGUCAUCUAAAAAAUACUUGUGUAAGAUCCCCCUUUACAAAAAGAGAAAAAAUGAUUCAAAAAAUCAAUCAAUCUUAAACUUCAAGCCAAAGAGACAGAAGGGGGUGAGUCUUUAAUGAGAAGAUGAUGGGUUUAAAAAUUGGUAAGGUUUUCUUUAUAUGUUUGAGUUCAUAUUUCAAAUAUACUUUUAUAUAUAUAUAUAUAUAUAUAUAUAUAUAUAUAUAUAU
rnacentral:lncRNA from 1 species